rnacentral:rRNA from 1 species
AUUGAACGCUGGCGGCAGGCCUAACACAUGCAAGCCGAACGGUAACAGGAAGCAGCUUGCUGCUUCGCUGACGAGUGGCGGACGGGUGAGUAAUGUCUGGGAAACUGCCCGAUGGGGGGGGAUAACUACUGGAAACGGUAGCUAAUACCGCAUAACGUCGCAAGACCAAAGAGGGGGACCCUCGGGCCUCUUGCCAUCGGAUGUGCCCAGAUGGGAUUAGCUUGUUGGUGAGGUAACGGCUCACCAAGGCGACGAUCCCUAGCUGGUCUGAGAGGAUGACCAGCCACACUGGAACUGAGACACGGGCCAGACUCCUACGGGAGGCAGCAGUGGGGAAUAUUGCACAAUGGGCGCAAGCCUGAUGCAGCCAUGCCGCGUGUAUGAAGAAGGCCUUCGGGUUGUAAAGUACUUUCAGCGGGGAGGAAGGUGUUGUGGUUAAUAACCGCAGCAAUUGACGUUACCCGCAGAAGAAACACCGGCUAACUCCGUGCCAGCCGCCGCCGUAA